rnacentral:lncRNA from 10 species
UGUCACUUCCAGGCAGGGCCUCGAGGAAGUAGGUGAGCUUCUCCAUCCCUGUCUGUCUAGAUGCAGAGAACCCAAAGCCCUGCAGGAUGGCAAAGCUGCAACAUGGAAGUCACCCGGAUCACCACGUAAAGGAAAUCUCUCCAACCAGGAACAAACACCUGCCUUGCAAUAUUAGGUGUCUGCCUCCUGCCCCGGUCCACAGCCAGGAGCCCCGGAGCCAACGGCCAGCCUGGAAGACUUACAGUUCUCCCUCUGAGGGUUGCUGUGGCUUUCCAUGUUGUGGUGACUAAGUCCCUGUGUUUCUGUGCAGUCCCUGCUUCCUGGGACCAGGGAAGAAUGGUCCCGUGGCCACCAGACUUUCUCUGCUUGUAUCCUCCCAGGACCACAGAACUCAUCGCAUCCCAAGGCAGCCUAUUCCAUCAUGGAUGAGCUCAAAGUGUUUGAAAGUUCUGCUUUAUCAAAACUCUUGAUGGCCUGCUUCCCAUCCUCCAUCCUGGAAGACUGAUCUGAAACCCCAGGAGGAGGUCCUCUGAGCCCUGAGGCAGAGAUCUCUCACCUGGAAGAUGGGUCUAAUGACUGCGCCCCACACACACCAGAGAGGACUGCAGAUAGUGCGGGAUGAGAGGAAGAUCUCUGGCCCUGGAGACAGCAUCAUCAAGCGGUAGCUUCAUCUUUGGGAGCUGGGGCCUCUGCAGGAGCUUUACCCUCCUCUCUCCAUGCUGAGCCUGUCUCAACCCCCUAACCUGCACCCCAGUCUUUUGGGGUCACCUCAAGGCUUUGGCUGAUGCUUCUUUGCUGACGUCAACCAAGGUGAUGGACCCAUUUGUCCUUGUAAAGUAACUCUUGAACAUACAGGCACUUCUCCCUCCCUCCUCUUGCUUUGAAGGGUGGGUGGGCACCUGCCACCAUGGUCAGGGUGAGGGCCAGCCCCAUACCCCCAAUGUCAGAAGGCAGCUGCCCCUGGCCUGUGGGUUUAUCUCAGAGGGGCCAGGUUUUCCUCACUGUGUGUCCCCAGCACCUAGCCUGGGGCCCAGCCCAGGGUCACACUCAGUAAAUACUGGCUGAGAAUUAAGGGGGAACUUUCUCGUUCCCCUCCAACACUUUUCUUUUCUUUUUUUUGAGACAGAGUCUCACUCUGUCGCCCAGGCUGGAGUGCAGUGGCGCGAUCUCGGCUCACUGCAACCUCCACCUCCCAGAUUCAAGUGAUUCUCCUGCUUCAGCCUCCCGAGUAGUUGGGAUUACAGGUGCCCGUCACCACAUCCGGCUAAUUUUUGUAUUUUUAGUAGAGACGGGGUUUUGCAUGUUGACCAGGCUGGUCUCGAACUUUUAACCUCAAGUGAUCCACCCGCCUUGGCCUCCCAAAGUGCUGGAAUUACAGGCAUGAGCCACCGCACCUGGCACCAAUGCUUUUCUGCAAGUGCUAGUGUGUGCCAUAGAGACAUCUGUGCAUGCCCAGGGGCGGCUGAGGGGCCAUAAGCCUCCUUUGACUCCAUUAUCUUGCCUGUGCAGGCCAGACGAUUGCCUGAACCCACAAUAGCUUCACCAGAAGAGGGGCUUACUCAUCACUUCCACACAACCUGUGCCCCUCCCCCACUGGGACCAGCUGGGGUUGAGGGGGUGAGGGUCAGGCUGGGGAAGGCUCCUGGAGAUUGCAUUUGCAACCUACCCCUCCCCUGCCAACCUCUAUUACCACACUGAGAGGAACAGGGAGACAUCACUAAAUUGAGGACCUAGGUAGAGAGAGAAGAAGAGAGUGUCCUGUCAGCCUUCAAAGGUUAUUCAGAGCUCUUGGUGCAGGAAGGCCCUGCUAGAAAACUCCAAGAGUCCAGGAGGGCCUUGGGCAUAAAAGCUCAGAGUUGUCCUCAAGAAGCAACUGCAUGGCAGUUAUAUCAGAUGCACAUUCAACAAUAAUAAUAGCAAAACCUUACACAGACCUACAAGCCCUUAUCCACACUUCAGAGAUCCCAGUGUUUCUGAACAAAAUAAUGUAACACCAAAACUCAUUGGGUAGCCAAAACCUAACCUGAACAGAUGUAUGAAUACUCGUAUAUUGUUUUCUGCAGAAAUAUUAAUGUGUUUCGUUAUGGGAUGCUAAGCCAGAUCCCACUACCCACUAGUGUGUUAUAUAAGUCAUGUGCUUUCCAAAAUCCCAAAACUCCCUAAAUUCCAAAAUGCAUCAGGAUCCUGAGACACUGGAGUUUCAGUUAAGGAGUUGUGACCUGUGUAGCUUCCUCCAUGACAGGCACUGUUCUAACUGCUCUCCAUAAUAUUAAUUCAUUCAAUCCUUACAAUGACCUGACAGAGUAGAACUUACUAUUAUUCUUCCAAUUUUAUAGAUAAGGAAACUGAGGCAGAGAGAGGUAAAGUGACUUGCCCAAACACAUACAGCUAAUGAAUGCUGCAACUGAAGCUUCCAGAGCCUAGUUCCAGAGCCCACUCUCCGAACAAGUCUACCAUCUAUUUCCCUUAAAAGGGCUGGUGAGGCCGGGCGCAGUGGCUCACACCUGUAAUCCCAGCACUUUGGGAGGCUGAGGUGGGUGGAUCACCUGAGGUCAGAAGUUUGAGACCACCCUGCCAACAUGGUGAAACCCCAUCUCUAUUAAAAAUACAAAAAUUAGGUGGGCGUGGUGGCGGGCACCUGUAAUCUCAGCUACUCGGGAGGCUGAGGCAGGAGAACUGCUGGAACCCAGGAGGCAGAGGUUGCAGUGAGCCGAAUCCGUGUCAUUGCACUCCAGCCCAGGCCAACAACAGCAAGAAUUCGUAUUAAAAAAAAGGCUGGUGAGAGGGGCGUGGAGGUUGAGGGGUGUGGUAAACUGUAGGAGAUAACGAUUUUAUGUUGUGUGUGUGCUAUGGUUUGGAUGUGGUUUGUCUCCUCCAAAAUGCAUGUAGAAACUUGGUCCCCAAUGUAAUGGUAUUGGGAGGUGGGGCCUUUAAGAGGGGAUUAGGUCAUUAGGAGGGAUUAAUGCCUUUCUCACAGGAGUGGGUUAAUUCUCACAGAAGUGGGUGAGUUAUUGAGAGCAGUUCAUUACAAAAGUGAGUUUGGCUUCCUCGGCUUUCUCUUGCUUCCUCGGCUUUCUCUUGCUUCCUCUCACCCUACGAUGCAUUCUGCUGUGUUACAACACAGCACGAGGCCCUCACCAGAAGCUGACCAGAUCCAGCCACCCUGUCUUGGACUUCCCAGCCUCCAGAACUGUAAAAAACAAACCCCUUUUCUUUGUCAAUUACCCAGUCCCAUGGGUUCUAUGACAGCAACAGAAAGUGGACAAAUUGUGUAACAUGCACAUGUCCAGGAGGGUGUGUGAGAGGUAAUCCUGUUGUUACGGUUGUUCUGUAGGGUGACCACAAUUGGGAAUUUCCCUGGGACUGUUUUGGUUUUAGCACUGAAAACUCUGUAUUUCAAUAAACUACUCAGACCUGGUAAACCAGGAUGGUUGGUCACCCUAGUUCUUGGCCUCUUUUCCUAUGAGCAACAUGAGGCUCAUGACCCACUGAGGAAGAUUCUAGGAUCUGAAGAUGCACUUUGUCUACAUAACACAGCUUCUCAACCCAAACCAGGAUCUCCAGCAGGCACUUACUCAAGACAUGGGGAAGAAGCCCCGGAGAAAAUGCUGGCUGUAUCAGAUUCAGUGAGGGACGAUGCCUCUGUCUCCACCUGGCAUCUUCCUAAGAGGUUUUCAAGGACCAAUGUGACUCUAUCAGGCUUUCACCUUGAGUGUUGAUGCUGGCCUCCAUUGUAAAUACAGUGGGAAUACACUUGAUAUUCUAAUUUAGAAAUGCCUGACUCUCAUCCCCAGCUUUGAAUUUUAACUCCUCAAAGUCCAAAGUGACUUCUUAGGAAUGACCCACACCAUGAGCUCAUAUCUAUCUUCCUGAGGCCUGCCCAGACCUGUCGAAGUAGAGAGAAGAAGACAAGGCCCCUGCUCUUGAGAAGCAGAAAACGUAUGAGGAAGAAAAUAGCAGAUGAGAAGAAUCAACCAAAUUCCGGAAGCUGGAAGGCAGAUGGAAGAAGGCCCUUGAAUGAUGCCAGCACCUUGAUAUUGGACUUUCCAGCCUCCAGAACCAUGAGCCAAUACAUUUCUGUUCCAUAAAAAUUACCCAGUUCCAGGUAUUCUGCUAUAGCAGCACAAAAUGGACUAAAACAAUGUUGGCACAAGACUCAGUGCUGGGCCUGGCAUGCAACAGGUCCUUGGAGUGGCGUGCUGUGUGGAUAAUGAAUAUUGGGGAAGGCAUCUCUCUCCAGCCCCUCUCAAGCUUUCUGUAGUCACUGGUCCACUCUGUAUUGCUAUGAAGAAGCUCAAGACCAGCCUGUAUCACUCGGGGUCCUGGCAGGAACCAGGUGCCACACUCAAACUGAGUAAUUGAAGAGGGUUUAAUAUGGGAGUUAUUUACAUAGGUGUGGGCUGGUGUAGCUGCCCAUAUGCCCUCAAAAUCACCUCUACAUGGCAAUAGCUACUUACUGCUAACAGAGUCUCUCUCUCAUUGCUGCAAAUAUUUUCUAGCCAUGCAAGAAACUCAGCCGGUCAUGUUGAACAAACUAAGAGUGCCAGGAAGUUAAUGUCCUGGAAGCAUUGCCAGAGGGGAGGGGGCAGUUAGAUUCCCCAGCUUCCUCGCUCCUCUGCUGGGUUAAGCCUGCAACAUAUUCAUCAUCUCCCAGAGUGCUGCCCAGGGAUAGAGCUCCAGGUGCUCAGUGUGGUGACCUGCUCAUGUCAGCUUCUUCCCCUUUCCUGUCUUGUUUCGCACCCACAUCCUUCCCAUGUUUCCUCUUCCCAAAUAAACUACUUGCAUUGAAAUCUUUGUCUCAGGCUCUGCUUCUGGGGAAACCUGAAC